rnacentral:lncRNA from 1 species
GCUUCAAGUGACUCUGAGGAGUCAGUCCUGGUCAAGAGACUUUUCAUUUCAACUCUGUUGAGGACAUUUAUUCAAGGUUUCAAAUCCUGGAUGCUGAAGUGAACAAACCUGGAGCAUCUCACACUCUGAAACUUGCUAACAGGCUGUAUGGAGAGAAAACCUACAAUUUCCUUCCUGAAAGUGCCUAGCAGUUCACAUUCUGAAACUUCCUGAAGUGACACAGACUUUUCCUGGCACAACCAAGAUGCAGGCCAUUCAUAGAAACAGCAAAGAAUGCAUGUGGAACCUUCAUCUCAUAGUCUUUCUAAUGAGAGGAUACCUCCUGGGGGCUUCAUCCAAGAAAAAUAAGGACUGAAAGGAUGGCCCAGAAAGGAAGAGAGCUUCCUGUGCAAGCAUGAGAAGCUGAGUUUGGAACCCAUGAAAAAUGCCAGGCCUAGCUUCAUACUCCCUUGUAACCCCAACCCUGUGUAGGGGAGCUAUGAGAACCCCUUGGGUUUGUGGACUACCAGGCUAGGCAGAUUCAGUGGGAGAACUUGUUUUAAGGGAAUGAGGCAAAGAGUAUGAGUAAGACACUUGACGUCUUCUCUGGGCUUCAGAAAUGCACAAAUAUGCACACCCAUACACCCAUACACCCAUACACCCUACUCACAUGUCGGACCCUCCUGGGUCCCCUGCAGUGUUUGACCUCAGCUGAAGCCCUGCUGAUGUUUGUAGAAGCCUUUUGUUCCCAACAAAGGAAUGCCCUGGCCCUGUAGCAACACACCUGGGAGGUACACCUGGGCAAUAAUCCGUUCCUGUCUUUUGUUCUUCGGUCUUUGUUCCUGAGGGCUUAAGCCGGGUUUCCCACUGUGCUUCCUGGAAUUCUCCACCCAGUGAACUUGGGGUAUAUAUUCCGUGAGUAAAUAAAACAAAAGAUUUGGUAUUCUCGUGACACC